CGCUCUCUUAUCCUUGGCUCGCUUUUGGCCCCCGCGUGCGGUNGUNGCCGGAKACCAGAUUCCGUUYMUCUCCGGUUUGGAUGAUUACGGGGACAACUAUUUGUGACACCCAAGCAAACGUGCCCUCGARCAGAAGGCUUGGGGCGCAACUUGCGUUCAAAGACACAAUGGGUCAGGGGAUUCGGUGAUUCACACCAAGUAUCCCAAUUCGCUUCUUUCUUCAUCGAUUCGAGAGCCGAGAUAUCCGUUGCAAAGAGUCGUUUUGCACUUUAUAUCGUGAAUUAACAUCCGCACAAACACCGUCUCCGGGUCAACGAAUGUUGGCUGUUCGGCUAUMUGUUCCUUGACACUUUUGCCGCSGUGGUUUUGUGAUAUCCGGAANCAACGCACAUGAGCAGACCGGAAAUUUACUCUGGAUCUGCACA
rnacentral:misc_RNA from 1 species